rnacentral:rRNA from 1 species
GACGAACCAUGCAAACGUUAUUCGGAAUCACUGGGCUUAAAGCGUGCGUAGGCGGUUCAGAAAGUUGGGUGUGAAAUGCCUCGGCUCAACCGAGGAAUUGCGCCCAAAACUACUGGGCUUGAGGGAGUUAGAGGUGAGCGGAACUCACGGUGGAGCGAUGAAAUGCGUUGAUAUCGUGAGGAACACCGGAGGCGAAAGCGGCUCACUGGGGCUUCACUGACGCUGAGGCACGAAAGCUAGGGGAGCAAACGGG